rnacentral:rRNA from 1 species
UGAGUAACCUGCCCUUGACUCUGGGAUAAGCGUUGGAAACGACGUCUAAUACCGGAUACGAGCUUCAGUCGCAUGACUAGGAGCUGGAAAGAAUUUCGGUCAAGGAUGGACUCGCGGCCUAUCAGCUAGUUGGUGAGGUAACGGCCCACAAGGCGACGACGGGUAGCCGGCCUGAGAGGGUGACCGGCCACACUGGGACUGAGACACGGCCCAGACUCCGUACGGGAGCAG